UUGAAAGAUGUGCCUGCACAGAUCUUCUCC
rnacentral:piRNA from 1 species